rnacentral:lncRNA from 1 species
AAACACUUGCCUAAAACAAAAGGAAUAAAAAUAGAAUCUUCAACCAUGCCCAAGAACACCCCUCUUAAUCAAUUUAAUCCUAAAUUUAGAAAAAGAAAUCUCAAAACCCCAUUUCGUAUCUGAAUCCAUAAGCAUCAAGAGGCAUCAAUGGUACACAUUAACUUUCACAGUGACAAAUGACUUAAAAACAUGAAAUAACUUGUAAAAUAGGUGGAUGCUUGAGUAUCUGUGGACAAAGGAGACUAAAAACUCGAAU